rnacentral:misc_RNA from 1 species
CUCAUUUAACACCACACCCGAGCGUCGGCAUGGCGCGUCUCUUUCGGUGAACACCCUACACCAUUGCAUAUUUCUUACUACACCCAGGCCAUUAUCCUAACAAUAACAUUGUUGCAUCAGUGAGUACAAGAAUGAUAACCUCAAAACAGAAAAAUCACAUACUUAUACACAUGGAUUCUGGAGAGAUACUAAAAAUUUAGAUAUUCUUUAGUUAAAGGUGAUAAUUAACCAAAGAAGUGGGACUGUCCU